GCCUGGGUGGCUCAGUAGGUUAAGCAUCUGCCUUCAGCUCAGUUCAUGAGGCUCAGGUCAUGAUCCCAGAGUCCUGGGAUCAAGCCCCACCUCAGGCU
rnacentral:tRNA from 1 species